rnacentral:rRNA from 1 species
UACGUAGGGUGCAAGCGUUAUCCGGAAUUAUUGGGCGUAAAGAGCUCGUAGGCGGUUUGUCGCGUCUGCUGUGAAAACCCGAGGCUCAACCUCGGGCCUGCAGUGGGUACGGGCAGACUAGAGUGCGGUAGGGGAGAUUGGAAUUCCUGGUGUAGCGGUGGAAUGCGCAGAUAUCAGGAAGAACACCCGUGGCGAAAGCGGCUCUCUGGACCGGUACUGACGCUGAGACGCGAAAGCGUGGGGAGCGAACAGG